GACGAACGCUGGCGGCGUGCUUAACACAUGCAAGUCGAACGGAAAGGCCCUGCUUUUGUGGGGUGCUCGAGUGGCGAACGGGUGAGUAACACGUGAGUAACCUGCACUUGACUUUGGGAUAACUUCAGGGAACUGGGGCUAAUACCGGAUAGGAGCUCCUGCUGCAUGGUGGGGGUUGGAAAGUUUCGGCGGUUGGGGAUGGACUCGCGGCUUAUCAGCUUGUUGGUGGGGUAGUGGCUUACCAAGGCUUUGACAGGUAGCCGGCCUGAGAGGGUGACCGGCCACAUUGGGACUGAGAUACGGCCCAGACUCCUACGGGAGGCAGCAGUGGGGAAUAUUGCACAAUGGGCGGAAGCCUGAUGCAGCAACGCCGCGUGCGGGAUGACGGCCUUCGGGUUGUAAACCGCUUUCGCCUGUGACGAAGCGUGAGUGACGGUAAUGGGUAAAGAAGCACCGGCUAACUACGUG
rnacentral:rRNA from 1 species